UACGUAGGGGGGCUAGCGUUGUCCGGAAUCAUUGGGCGUAAAGAGCUCGUAGGUGGUUCGGUAAGUCGGAUGUGAAAUCUCCAGGCUCAACCUGGAGGGGUCAUUCGAUACUGCCGUGACUAGAGGUCGGUAGGGGAGUGUGGAAUUCCUGGUGGAGCGGUGAAAAUGCGCAGAUAUCAGGAGGAACACCCGUAGCGAAGGCGGCACUCUGGGCCGAUACUGACACUGAGGAGCGAAAAGCGUGGGGAGCGAACAGG
rnacentral:rRNA from 1 species